UACGAAGGGGGGCUAGCGUUGCUCGGAAUCACUGGGCGUAAAGCGCACGUAGGCGGAUCAUUAAGUCGGGGGUGAAAUCCUGGAGCUCAACUCCAGAACUGCCUUCGAUACUGAAGAUCUCGAGUCCGGGAGAGGUGAGUGGAACUCCGAGUGUAGAGGUGAAAUUCGUAGAUAUUCGGAAGAACACCAGUGGCGAAGGCGGCUCACUGGCCCGGUACUAACGCUGAGGUGCGAAAGCGUGGGGAGCAAACAGG
rnacentral:rRNA from 1 species